GACAGAGGUGCCGAGCGUUAGGCGGAAUCACUGGGCUUAAAGCGUGUGUAGGCGGGCGGGCAAGUACCUUGUGAAAUCCCACGGCUCAACCGUGGAACGGCUGGGUAUACUGCCUGUCUUGAGCCAACUAGGGGCGAGCGGAACAGACGGUGGAGCGGUGAAAUGCGUAGAUAUCGUCUGGAACGCCAAAGGUGAAGACAGUCUGCUGGGGAUCUGCUGACGCUGAGACACGAAAGCCAGGGGAGCGAACGGG
rnacentral:rRNA from 1 species